rnacentral:lncRNA from 7 species
GAGAGCUCUUGCUGGAAGCAUUGUAUGAUUUGAGAAGAAAAACGCAGCUGCAGUUCCUAUCUGAGAAGCUUAUGCAAAGGAUUUUUUUCUUGGACACUGACUAUGAAAAGGAGUUAAACCAUUUUUAUUUUUGAUUAUGCCUUGGAUAUCUGGAUGGAGAUGAUCUGUAACUUGGUGACGAAUGGGUUAGCUAGGUUGAAUUUGCCACUUGAAUUAAUUUUUUCUUUGC